GGUACAGGGGUUUAGGGUUAUGGGACAGAGGGUUACGGUUUAGGGUUAUUGGACAGGGGUUUAGGGUUAUGGGACAGGGGUUAGGGUUAUGGGACAGAGGGUUAGGGUUAUGGGACAGGGGCUUAGGGUUAUGGGACAGGGACUUAGGGUUUAGGGUUAUGGUACAUGAUGUUAGGGUUUAGGGUUAUGGCACAGGGAAGAGGGGGUUAGGGUUAUGGGACAGGGGGUUAGGGUUAUGGGACAGGGGGUUAGGGUAAUGUGACAGGGAUUUAGGGUUAUGGGACAGGACAAGGGGGUUUAGGAUUGUGGGACAGGGAGAUAGGGUUAUGGGACAGUUGGUUAGGGUCAUGGGACACGUAUUUAGGGUUAUGGGACAGGGAGAUAGGGUUAUGUGACAGGGGUUUAGGGUUAUGGGACAUGAGGUUAGGUUUUAGGGUUAUGGGACAGUGUGUUAGGGUUAUGGGACAGGGGUUUAGGGUUUUGGGUUAUGGGACAGGGUGUUAGGGUUAUGGCACAGGGGUUAGGGGUUAUGGGACAGGAGGAUAGGGUUAUG
ensembl:lncRNA